rnacentral:lncRNA from 1 species
CUGGUCUCCGGGGGUGCGGCCUUGGGCAGCGCCCUCCAAGGUCCAGAGACCCCCAGGAGCUGCGCUCCGAGGCCCAAAGGCGUCGACAGUCAGAGCUGCGCCAGCACCCUCCCAACCCAACGGCCACGCGGCCACGCCCUGUGCGGCCUUUCCUGUUUGUUUCCCAGCCUUCCAUGUUGCAACUACAAAGUAGUAUUUGGUUGCAGCCCCGCUGAACCCUCGCUCCUCAGUUUGUCAAACAGGCAAGCUUGGUGGUGGUUGGCUAUAAUCCUGGCACUCCAGGAGGCUGAGACAGGAGGAUCACAACUUCAAACUUAGCCUGGGCAACUUGGCAAGACUGUCUCAAAAUAAAAAAAAAGGGACUGAGGAUGUAGUUCAUUGAAAAGACCUUGGGUUCAAUCACCAACACUGCAAAAGAAGAAAACAAAAAGGAGGGUGGGAUGGGAGAAAGGAAAAAAAAGAGAAGUCAUCUGGUGGGUGGGGGGCACCUGGGGAGGGCACUGGCCACUCGGGGAAGAGCUGGGGCACACAGGAGAGGCCUGGGGUGCAGCAGCCUCACUGCGGAGGGAGGGGAGAACCAGCACGUCUGCCUCUGAUGCUCCCUGGGUCCCUGGGUCCUCAGCUCUCACUGGGAAGUGACCUGGUGGCGUCUCCAGGUGACCUCUUUCCUGGGAACGUUUUCCAGUGCGAGGAGGCGGCAGGCAGAGGGCCUGGGCUGCAGGAUCCUCCAGAGAAGCAGGGCACCCUUCAGAGCUCAGGGGCCAGCACUCGAGGGCUGGGGAGCGGGGGUGGGGGUGAGCUCAGGCCCUGGGCCUCCCAGGAACGUGGGGCCCCCCGCCCCGCAGGCGCACACUGGGCCGUGGCACUGGUGACAGCCCAGGUCUCAUUUAUGGGUCCCCAGCCCCAGGGGCUGCAAGGUCACCCAGGAAGGGGAGCACUGAGGGACCCCACGACCCAGAGGGAGUCGAACUUCCACACAGGGGCCCCAAGCUCAUGCCUUGCACGCUGGCUUAAAAAGGAGUUUGCUGUCUGGUGAGCACUGUCUGGAGUUCGCUCUCACCCAGGGAGCUUCCAUUCCCUCCCUGGCACUCUGGAGCAGGCAGAGGCCGGACGCUCUGCUCAUUCCCAGAGCUGGAUAUCACGGCUGCUUGCUGUCUCCGAAACUUGCAAUCUGCAUCAGAUGCCAGGUUCUUCCACACCACCCACCACUGUGGCUCCCCCACAAGCAUUCGAAAGCAGCCCCAACCAUGGCCAGCAGCCUCGGUCAUGCCCGUCACACUGAAGUGAGGCUCUGCGGGUGGACAGC